GAUGAACGCUAGCGAUAGGCCUAACACAUGCAAGUCGAGGGGCAUCACAUGAGGUAGCAAUACUGAUGGUGGCGACCGGCGCACGGGUGAGUAACACGUAUGCAACCUACCUUCCACACGGGGAUAACCCGGAGAAAUCCGGACUAAUACCCGAUAAUACAGGGGUCCCGCAUGGGAAUAUUUGUUAAAGAUUUAUUGGUAGAAGAUGGGCAUGCGUUCCAUUAGUUAGUUGGUGAGGUAACGGCUCACCAAGGCGACGAUGGAUAGGGGAACUGAGAGGUUUAUCCCCCACACUGGAACUGAGACACGGUCCAGACUCCUACGGGAGGCAGCAGUGAGGAAUAUUGGUCAAUGGAGGCAACUCUGAACCAGCCAAGUCGCGUGAAGGAUGAAGGUCUUAUGGAUUGUAAACUUCUUUUAUACAGGAAUAAAUUGAGUCACGUGUGGCUUUUUGCAUGUACUGUAUGAAUAAGGAUCGGCUAACUCCGUG
rnacentral:rRNA from 1 species